AGAAGAAUUUCGUGGACGUGACUCUUGCUAACCCGGUCAGAUUCGAAAGAAAGCAGCCGUAACAAUGAUAUCGGGUCACGAAAUUCUUCGUAA
rnacentral:SRP_RNA from 1 species